CAAGUGGUCAGGAUGAUUAUUGGGCCUAAAGCAUCCGUAGCCUGCUUUGUAAGUUUUCGGUUAAAUCCAUGUGCUCAACGCAUGGGCUGCCGAAAAUACUGCAUAGCUAGGGAGUGGGAGAGGUAGACGGUACUCAGUAGGUAGGGGUAAAAUCCUUUGAUCUAUUGAUGACCACCUGUGGCGAAGGCGGUCUACCAGAACACGUUCGACGGUGAGGGAUGAAAGCUGGGGGAGCAAACCGGAUUAGAUACCCGGGUAGUCCCAGCUGUAAACGAUGCAGACUAGAUGAUGCAUUGGCAUAAUAGCCAUUGCAGUGUCUCAGGGAAGCCGUUAAGUCUGCCGCCUGGGAAGUACGUACGCAAGUAUGAAACUUAAAGGAAUUGGCGGGGGAGCACCACAAGGGGUGAAGCCUGCGGUUCAAUUGGAGUCAACGCCAGAAAUCUUACCCGGAGAGACAGCAGAAUGAAGGUCAAGCUGAAGACUUUACCAGACAAGCUGAGAGGUGGUGCAUGGCCGUCGCCAGCUCGUGCCGUGAGAUGUCCUGUUAAGUCAGGUAACGAGCGAGAUCCCUGCCGCUAGUUGCUAUCAUUAUUCUCAGGAAUAGUGGAGCGAAUUAGUGGGACUGCCGUUGUUAAAACGGAGGAAGGAAGGGGCUACGGCAGGUCAGUAUGCCCCGAAACUCU
rnacentral:rRNA from 1 species